rnacentral:rRNA from 1 species
GACGAACGCUGGCGGCGUGCUUAACACAUGCAAGUCGAACGGAAAGGCCUCUUUCGGGGGGUACUCGAGUGGCGAACGGGUGAGUAACACGUGAGUAACCUGCCCUUGACUUUGGGAUAACUUCAGGAAACUGGGGCUAAUACCGGAUAGGAGCUCCUGCUGCAUGGUGGGGGUUGGAAAGUUUCGGCGGUUGGGGAUGGACUCGCGGUUUAUCAGCUUGUUGGUGGGGUAGUGGCUUACCAAGGCUUUGACGGGUAGCCGGCCUGAGAGGGUGACCGGCCACAUUGGGACUGAGAUACGGCCCAGACUCCUACGGGAGGCAGCAGUGGGGAAUAUUGCACAAUGGGUGGAAGCCUGAUGCAGCAACGCCGUGUGCGGGAUGACGGCCUUCGGGUUGUAAACCGCUUUCGCUCAUGACGAAGCUUUGUGUGACGGUAGUGGGUAAAGAAGCACCGGCUAACUACGUG